rnacentral:misc_RNA from 1 species
AACGCACAUUGCACUGGUUGGACCUCCAAUCAGUAUGCCUGUUUGAGUAUUGGUAAUAUCAUCUAUAUGCGCAAGUAUAUGACAUGAGCCGUAAUUGCAGAAUUUGGCUUUGAACACAUUGAUUGACAGCGGGUGAGACGAAUCGGUCUUGAUGUAUCAACAAGAGCAGUAUGCCUACGAUGAAGCAUCAUCAACCAAUGAGUGUCAUCAGCAUUGAUGUCGACCUGUCACGAGUGUCACACCCCACAUACAAUAACCCAUCUCAAAUCAGGCAAGAUUACCCGCUGAACUUAA